UACGGAGGAUGCGAGCGUUAUCCGGAUUUACUGGGUGUAAAGGGAGCGUAGACGGCGGUGCAAGCCAGAUGUGAAAGCCCGGGGCUCAACCCCGGGACUGCAUUUGGAACUGUAUGGCUGGAGUGUCGGAGAGGCAGGCGGAAUUCCUAGUGUAGCGGUGAAAUGCGUAGAUAUCGAGAGGAACACUCGUGGCGAAGGCGGGUUCCUGGACAUUAACUGACGCUGAGGCACGAAGGCCAGGGGAGCGAAAGGG
rnacentral:rRNA from 1 species